ACAGCAGCCGCCGCGGUAAUACGUAGGGUGCAAGCGUUAAUCGGAAUUACUGGGCGUAAAGCGUGCGCAGGCGGUUAUAUAAGACAGAUGUGAAAUCCCCGGGCUCAACCUGGGAACUGCAUUUGUGACUGUAUAGCUAGAGUACGGCAGAGGGGGAUGGAAUUCCGCGUGUAGCAGUGAAAUGCGUAGAUAUGCGGAGGAACACCGAUGGCGAAGGCAAUCCCCUGGGCCUGUACUGACGCUCAUGCACGAAAGCGUGGGGAGCAAACAGGAUUAGAUACCCCCGUAGUCCCUGUCUCUUAUAA
rnacentral:rRNA from 1 species